rnacentral:sRNA from 1 species
UUCCUAGUUGAGCUUCUAAUUGGCAGAGGCAGAGAGCCAAACACAGCUACAUCAGCAGGGUCAUACUGUUUUCAGGGAAUGGAGAUGUUAAGGCAGGAUGGAUAGAAUGACAGAAGAUGCUCUUCGCUUGAAUCUGUUGAAGCGGAGCUUGGACCCAGCAGAUGAGCGAGAUGAUGUCCUGGCAAAG